rnacentral:rRNA from 1 species
UACGUAGGGUGCAAGCGUUAAUCGGAAUUACUGGGCGUAAAGCGUGCGUAGACGGUUGCGUAAGUCGGAUGUGAAAUCCCCGGGCUCAACCUGGGAAUUGCAUUCGAGACUGCGUAGCUGGGGUGCGGAAGAGGGAAGCGGAAUUUCCGGUGUAGCGGUGAAAUGCGUAGAUAUCGGAAGGAACAUCAGUGGCGAAAGCGGCUUCCUGGUCCAGCACCGACGUUCAGGCACGAAAGCGUGGGGAGCAAACAGG